GAUGAAGAACGUAGUGAAAUGCGAUAAGUAAUGUGAAUUGCAGAAUUCAGUGAAUCAUCGAAUCUUUGAACGCACAUUGCGCCCGCCAGUAUUCUGGCGGGCAUGCCUGUUCGAGCGUCAUUUCAACCCUCAGGGCCCUUUUGGACCUGGCGUUGGGGCUCGGCCGCUACCCUGCGGCCGUCCCCGAAAGAUAGUGGCGGUCUCGCUGUAGCCUCCUCUGCGUAGUAGUUACAUCUCGCACUGGAACGCGGCGCGGCCAUGCCGUUAAACACCCCACUUCUCAAGGUUGACCUCGGAUCAGGUAGGAAUACCCGCUGAACUUAAGCAUAUCAAUAAGUGGAGGA
rnacentral:misc_RNA from 1 species